rnacentral:tRNA from 1 species
AGAAAUUUAAGUUAACAGACUAAAGGUCUC